AUUGAACGCUGGCGGCAGGCCUAACACAUGCAAGUCGAGCGGAUUAAGGGAGCCUGCUCCUGGAUUCAGCGGCGGACGGGUGAGUAAUGCCUAGGAAUCUGCCUGGUAGUGGGGGAUAACGUCCGGAAACGGGCGCUAAUACCGCAUACGUCCUGAGGGAGAAAGUGGGGGAUCUUCGGACCUCACGCUAUCAGAUGAGCCUAGGUCGGAUUAGCUAGUUGGUGGGGUAAAGGCCUACCAAGGCGACGAUCCGUAACUGGUCUGAGAGGAUGAUCAGUCACACUGGAACUGAGACACGGUCCAGACUCCUACGGGAGGCAGCAGUGGGGAAUAUUGGACAAUGGGCGAAAGCCUGAUCCAGCCAUGCCGCGUGUGUGAAGAAGGUCUUCGGAUUGUAAAGCACUUUAAGUUGGGAGGAAGGGCAGUAAGUUAACACCUUGCUGUUUUGACGUUACCAACAGAAUAAGCACCGGCUAACUUCGUG
rnacentral:rRNA from 1 species